rnacentral:lncRNA from 1 species
UGAAUUUAGUGAGAGGUUCAUCUGCAAAGCAUCAAUCUUCUAGGAGAGAAAAAAGAAAAAAGUGCAGAAAUCUUAUGCUGUCGAUCUCCAGCAGAGCAAACCAUCAAAGUUGACAAGAGCCAGGUAGAGUGCUUCUUUUGCAAGAAGCUGGAUCAUUGAAAAAAUAAUUAUCUUGCUUAUAUAGCCACCCUUGACCCAAACAGGCCUAAAAAUAAGAGAAAGAAGCAAGCGAUUGCUUUGUAAGGUACUUAUAUGAUAAUACCUUAUAAUUUUUCUGUUUGUGAUACUACUACCUGGGUAUUGGGUAUCGAAAGUUCUAUUAAUAUAUGCAAUUUAUUGUAGAGACUGCAGAUAAGUAGAAAGUUUCAAGAGG